ensembl:lncRNA
AGAGAUUCAUCCCAUGAGCAUAAGAAUGACACAUCUUAACCUUUUCCCUGAUUACUUAUUCAUAUGAGAACAGUUCAGAGAAGUGUGCUCUGCUCUGGGCUUUUGAAAAUAUUCCAUUUCCUCUUUUGAUUCUCCUUUUAAAUUAACAUUAAUGGAAUCAUCAGUUUGCAAGUAAACAGAGUGCAGUGCUGCUGAGCCGCUGGAGUGCACGCGGGUCUGGUCCCAGUCCUUCUGCGGCACUGUAUGGGUGACAUUACCAGGAGCAUGAACUCUGGAUGGCUCUGCUCUUGGGAUCUCAGGACCACACUAGCUUCUUCACCACAAAAGAUGACAAUCCACAAAAAAGACCAGCUCACACCCUGCAACAGACUGGAGCCCUGUCCUGCGCCCCAGUGACCCUGAAUUGGAUAAGUGGAAGAGGAUGGAUGGGACAUGAACUGCAGCCCCUGGUCUUGAAGUCAUGCUCUGUGGACGUCAGGGUUGGAAGCAGAACUCCUGCUGCAAUGACAUCAAGACAAAUUACCGUACAUUGUGAACAUUAAGUUGAUUCUGACUAAUGAGAUGAAGCAGCAGAAAUUGAGACAAGGUAAAUUUGGAGGACAGCAAGGUGUUCUCCAAGCCAGUUGGAAGAUGUCAUGUCUCCAGUCCGUCAUGGGGCCUACACCUGUUGGGACAUGCCUAAAGGUUUACCA